rnacentral:rRNA from 1 species
CCUACGGGUGGCAGCAGUGAGGAAUAUUGGUCAAUGGACGAGAGUCUGAACCAGUCAAGUAGCGUGAAGGAUGACUGCCCUAUGGGUUGUAAACUUCUUUUAUAUGGGAAUAAAAUGUUCCACGUGUGGGAUUUUGUAUGUACCAUAUGAAUAAGGAUCGGCUAACUCCGUGCCAGCAGCCGCGGUAAUACGGAGGAUCCGAGCGUUAUCCGGAUUUAUUGGGUUUAAAGGGAGCGUAGGUGGAUUGUUAAGUCAGUUGUGAAAGUUUGCGGCUCAACCGUAAAAUUGCAGUUGAAACUGGCAGUCUUGAGUACAGUAGAGGUGGGCGGAAUGCGUGGUGUAGCGGUGAAAUGCUUAGAUAUCACGAAGAACUCCGAUUGCGAAGGCAGUUCACUGGACUGCAACUGACACUGAGGCUCGAAAGUGUGGGUAUCAAACAGGAUUAGAUACCCCAGUAGUC